rnacentral:rRNA from 1 species
UACAGGGGGUGCAAACGUUGCUCGGAAUCAUUGGGCGUAAAGCGCACGUAGGCGGUUCGUUAUGUCGGAUGUGAAAGCCCUUGGCUUAACCGAGGAAGUGCAUCCGAAACUGGCGAGCUAGAGUACGAAAGAGGAUCGCGGAAUUUCCGGUGUAGCGGUGAAAUGCGUAGAUAUCGGAAGGAACACCAGUGGCGAAAGCGGCUUCCUGGUCCGAACACCGACGUUCCAGGCACGAAAGCGUGGGGAGCAAACAGG